rnacentral:lncRNA from 1 species
CAAUUGUAGUUCAAAAAUGAAGAUCCAACUUUCUCAUCACUUAGUGCUGUCAUUUCCUUGCCACGUGUGUGCAUGUGUGUGUGCAUGCAUACACACACACAGAGUGCCGUUUGGUAGAUGGUGAAUAAACAGGGUAUCACUUAAGUUCAAUUUGCAAUAUUCUAAUUGUGGAGAAAGAUGUUUUUCAGUUGAAGAUCAGACUGCAGUUGAACACUCCAAUAAUUCAUGAGGUGGAUAUUAUUACCACCAUUUUACAGAUAGG